UUGAUGAUCGGCGUGUCGAACAGCGCGCCGACACUGCCGAUGUUGGUGAUGGUGAAGGUGCCGCCGGAGAGCUCGUUCGGGGCGAUCUUGUUGGUCC
rnacentral:tRNA from 1 species